ensembl:lncRNA
UGGCAUCACCGACUCGAUGGACGUGAGUUUGAGUGAACUCCGGGAGUUGGUGAUGGACAGGGAGGCCUGGUGUGCUGUGAUUCAUGGGGUGGCAAAGAGUCAGACAUGGCUGAGCAACUGAACUGAACUGAACUGAAAAGUGAGAUUUCAGUUCCGGUGCGGCUAGCCCUGCUGACAGAGAAUGUUCUCCCGGGCAGUUGCAACAACCUGGCACCUGCCAUGGAAGAGCCCAACCAGUGCUCAUAUGCAGCUGUUCAGGAUGUGUGCCAGCCUCGCUGACUCCGGAUGAUGGGCGGAUACAGCUAUCGCCACUGCCUCCCUUGCUCCUGAAUACAGUGGAGCGGCCAGUCUCCCAGUCAGGUGGUGCUGGGUGCCCCAACACCCGAGGAAGGGAUCUCAAAGAUGAAAGUCUGCUUUUUUCUGAACGAAGUACUUCCUGUGGCAGUGGAGCCCCAACUUAGAGUGAGCUGGAUUCCUCUGUGGAGAAGAACAGACAUAGCGCCAUAAGUUCUGAUUGGUAGGUGAGUAGCCAGACCCAGACACUGGGAUCACUAACCAGGUCCUUAGGAGGUGUUUCUCACAGUGUGG